AUCCAGCUGACGGGUUUCAAAUAGGACGAAACGUGCGUCAAACUGGAU
rnacentral:hammerhead_ribozyme from 1 species